AUGUUCUCACUUCAGCAGCAUAUAUACUAAAAUUGGAACAAUACAGAGAAGGUUAGCAUGGCCCUUGUGCAAGGAUGACACGCAAAUUCGUGAAGCAUUCCAUAUUUUU
rnacentral:snRNA from 1 species